rnacentral:lncRNA from 1 species
GAGUCAGAAAAAGCUAGAGAGGAUGCCGAAGUACUUGGAAUUUGGAGUCUAAAGAACUGGGAGAAGAGACCUAAGCCAUAGGAAGAUGGAGCAGCAGCAAGGACCAUAAUGGAAACAAGCAUCCAGGCAGUGCGGAAAAGCAGGAACCCAAAGGGGCUGAUUUUCCCUGAGACAUAGACCAUUGCCUCAAGAUUUUAAAGUUUUAAACACUAAUGUGGCGAAUCUGAGCAUGGAACUCUCCUCUGAGGCAUUCAGUGUCUCCUGUUUGGAAGCAUUCUCUGGCUUCUAGAAGUAGCUGAAAUAAACCCUUUUGGAGGAAAGAAUCACACAGGCUCCCGUAGGGAAUAAACCGUGAAAAAUUAUGAACAGUGCAAUUACUGGACCCCACGUACAUUCAACA